rnacentral:rRNA from 1 species
GUGGGGAAUCUUGCGCAAUGGGCGAAAGCCUGACGCAGCCAUGCCGCGUGAAUGAUGAAGGUCUUAGGAUUGUAAAAUUCUUUCACCGGGGACGAUAAUGACGGUACCCGGAGAAGAAGCUCCGGCUAACUUCGUGCCAGCAGCCGCGGUAAUACGUAGGUGGCAAGCGUUGUCCGGAAUUACUGGGUGUAAAGGGCGUGUAGGCGGAACUACAAGUCAGGGGUGAAAACUAUGGGCUUAACCCAUAGCCUGCCUUUGAAACUGUAGUCCUUGAGUGCUGGAGAGGCAAUUGGAAUUCCUAGUGUAGCGGUGAAAUGCGUAGAUAUUAGGAGGAACACCAGUGGCGAAGGCGAAUUGCUGGACAGUAACUGACGCUGAGGCGCGAAAGCGUGGGGAGCAAACAGGAUUAGAUACCCGUGUAGUCC